rnacentral:rRNA from 1 species
CCUACGGGUGGCAGCAGUAGGGAAUCUUCCACAAUGGGCGAAAGCCUGAUGGAGCAACGCCGCGUGGGUGAAGAAGGUCUUCGGAUCGUAAAACCCUGUUGUUAGAGAAGCAAGUGCGGGAGAGUAACUGUUCACGUUUCGACGGUAUCUAACCAGAAAGCCUCGGCUAACUACGUGCCCGCAGCCGCGGUAAUACGGAGGUGGCAAGCGUUAUCCGGAUUUAUUGGGCGUAAAGGGAACGCAGGCGGUCUUUUAAGUCUGAUGUGAAAGCCUUCGGCUUAACCGGAGUAGUGCAUUGGAAACUGGGAGACUUGAGUGGAGAAGAGGAGAGUGGAAUGCCAGGUGUAGCGGUGAAAUGCGUAGAUAUAGGGAAGAACACCAGUGGCGAAAGCGGCUCUCUGGCCUGUAACUGACGCUGAGGUUCGAAAGCGUGGGUAGCAAACAGGAUUAGAUACCCGUGUAGUC